AUUUGGACUCUAGAUGGGAUCUGUAGAUUGAUGAAGGCUAUCUGGAGCUGUUAAGUUAUCCUGCAGUGCUCUGACUUUUGUCCUAACGUUCUUUCAGAUGCAGCCAGAUGGAAUCCGUGGCAGAGGGCCCCGUCCCGGGUGAGGGGGGUCCCCCGAGAAGGAACUAAAGCCAGAUACUAGCGGUCAAGGCGGUCCGCUUCUGUUACAACGAGACCACAUCCGCAAGUGGCCACUGGACCCCGGUUUUCACUUCUGUGGGAAUUGAUAUUGUGAAUUAAAUUUUUGUUGGAAUGUGUGGGUAUUUUGUGUUGUUUUUGAUAUAUUAUUGUUUUAAAUUAUAGGUGUGAUAUUUUGAGGUAAAUUCUUUGUGGUUUCAGGGUUUUUUUAUUUGUUUAUUUUUUUGUAUGUAAUUAUUUUUCAUGGAUUUAUUUUUAAUGUCUUUUGUAAUUUGUAGUAUUGUAAUUUAAUUGUCAUUUGGGAUAUGAGUGUAUAAAUGUUAGUUUAAGUUUAUGUUAUGUGGAGGAAUUUUUGUAUUUACUGUUUGAGUUCUGUGAGGGAUAAGGUUAGAUAUGAAGAGGUAUAGUUAACAAGGCAUUUAGAAAAUAGAUUUUUAGGAUUGGUGACCAAUAAACAUGGUGUGUUUGUAUGGGUGGUUUUAGUUACUGUUACUUGUAUGUUUUGUUUUGGUUGUGGAAUUCUUUAUCUUGGGUUGUUUUGGUUUUGUUUUUUUUUUUAAGCAUUUUACAUGAGGGUUGACAUAGUGAGUAGGACUCUUGUGUGGUCUAUUUUUCGUGGAAACAUAAGUAUAUUUCAGGUUAUGAAAUUUACGGGACUACUUUCUUGACUACUUAACAAAUGCU